AGAGUUUGAUCAUGGCUCAGAUUGAACGCUGGCGAAUGCUUAACACAUGCAAGUCGAACGGUGACGAGGAGCUUGCUCCUCCGAUCAGUGGCGAACGGGUGAGUAACACGUGAGUAACCUGCCCCAGACUCUGGGAUAACAGUUGGAAACAGCUGCUAAUACCGGAUACGAGACGGAGAGGCAUCUCUACCGUCUGGAAAGUUUUUCGGUCUGGGAUGGACUCGCGGCCUAUCAGCUUGUUGGUGAGGUAAUGGCUCACCAAGGCGACGACGGGUAGCCGGCCUGAGAGGGCGACCGGCCACACUGGGACUGAGACACGGCCCAGACUCCUACGGGAGGCAGCAGUGGGGAAUAUUGCACAAUGGGCGAAAGCCUGAUGCAGCGACGCCGCGUGAGGGAUGACGGCCUUCGGGUUGUAAACCUCUUUCAGCAGGGAAGAAGCGAAAGUGACGGUACCUGCAGAAGAAGCACCGGCUAACUACGUG
rnacentral:rRNA from 1 species